GACGAACGCUGGCGGCGUGCCUAAUACAUGCAAGUCGAACGCAGUGGGGACGGGUGAGUAACCCGUGGGUUAACUCCCCAUCAGCGGCGAAAACACUUGGAAACAGGUGCUAAAUCGAUACUGAUGGAUGGACUCGCGGUGCAUUAGCUAGUUGGCGUGGUAACGGCCCACCAAGGCCACGAUGCAUAGCCGACCUGAGAGGGUGAGCGGCCACACUGGGACUGAGACACGGCCCAGACUCCUACGGGAGGCAGCAGUAGGGAAUCUUCCGCAAUGGACGAAAGUCUGACCGAGCAACGCCGCGUGAGUGAAGAAGGUUUUCGGAUCGUAAAACUCUGUUAUUAGAGAAGCGGUAUCUAACCAGAAAGCCACGGCUAACUACGUGCCAGCAGCCGCGGUAAUAC
rnacentral:rRNA from 1 species